rnacentral:rRNA from 1 species
UGAGGAAUAUUGGGCAAUGCCCGCAAGGGUGACCCAGCAACGCCGCGUGGAGGAUGAAUGUCGUAAGAUUGUAAACUCCUGUUAGAGGGGAAGAAUAGUACCGGUUGGACCGGUAUAUGACUGUACCCUCAGAGAAAGCCCCGGCUAACUACGUGCCAGCAGCCGCGGUAAUACGUAGGGGGCAAGCGUUGUCCGGAUUUACUGGGUGUAAAGGGCGCGCAGGCGGAAUGGAAAGUCAGUGGUGAAAUCCUACAGCUUAACUGUAGAACUGCCUUUGAUACUUUCAUUCUUGAGUUCGGGAGAGAGAGACGGAAUUCCAGGUGUAGUGGUGAAAUACGUAGAUAUCUGGAAGAACACCAGUUGCGAAGGCGGUCUCUUGAUCCGACACUGACGCUGAGGCGCGAAAGCGUGGGGAGCAAACA